rnacentral:rRNA from 1 species
CACGUAGGGCGCAAGCGUUGUCCGGAAUUAUUGGGCGUAAAGAGCUCGUAGGCGGUCUGUUGCGUCCGCUGUGAAAACUCGGGGCUUAACCCCGAGCCUGCAGUGGAUACGGGCAGACUAGAGGUAGGUAGGGGAGAAUGGAAUUCCCGGUGUAGCGGUGAAAUGCGCAGAUAUCGGGAGGAACACCAGUGGCGAAGGCGGCUACCUGGACCAGCACUGACACUGAAGCACGAAAGCGUGGGGAGCAAACAGG